CCUUCGCCUAGGUCGUA
rnacentral:piRNA from 1 species